rnacentral:rRNA from 1 species
CCCUGGUUGAUCCUGCCAGUAGUUAUAUGCUUGUCUCAAAGACUAAGCCAUGCAUGUCUCAGUGCAAGCCGUAUUAAGGCGAUACCGCGAAUGGCUCAAUAUAUCAGUUUUGGUUCCUUAGAUCUUACUCAGUUACUUGGAUAACUGUGGCAAUUCUAGAGCUAAUACAUGCAAUCAGAACUCUGACCAGUGAUGGAAUGAGUGCUUUUAUUAGAUCAAAACCAAUCGACGGAGGUUCGCGCGAGCGUCCGAUGUCGUUCAUUUUGAUGAAUCUGGAUAACUUUUGCAGAUCGCAUGGUCUCGUACCGGCGACGCAUCUUUCAAAUGUCUGCCUUAUCAACUUUCGAUGGUAGUUUCUGCGACUACCAUGGUUGUCACGGGUAACGGGGAAUCAGGGUUCGAUUCCGGAGAGGGAGCCUGAGAAACGGCUACCACAUCCAAGGAAGGCAGCAGGCGCGCAAAUUACCCACUCCCGGCACGGGGAGGUAGUGACGAAAAAUAACGAUACGGGACUCUUACGAGGCCUCGUAAUCGGAAUGAGUACACUUUAAAUAUUUUAACGAGAACCAAUUGGAGGGCAAGUCUGGUGCCAGCAGCCGCGGUAAUUCCAGCUCCAAUAGCGUAUACUAAAAUUGUUGCGGUUAAAAAGCUCGUAGUUGCAUUUGUGCGCCGCGCUGUCGGUGCACCGCAUCCGCGGUGAUACUGACACGUUUGCGGAGCAUAUCGUCGGUGAGCCUUCGGUAAAACGGAGGUUCAAUAUCAAAAAUCCUAUCGCGGUGCUCUUUAUUGAGUGUCGAGAUGGGCCGACAAUUUUACUUUGAACAAAUUAGAGUGCUCAAAGCGGGCUCAAAAUGCUGCUUGAAUAUUUCGUGCAUGGAAUAAUAGAAUAUGAUCUCGGUUCUAUUUUGUUGGUUUUCAGAACUCCGAGGUAAUGAUUAAUAGGGAUAACUGGGGGCAUUCGUAUUGCGACGUUAGAGGUGAAAUUCUUGGAUCGUCGCAAGACGAACAUCAGCGAAAGCAUUUGCCAAAGGUGUUUUCAUCAAUCAAGAACGAAAGUUAGAGGUUCGAAGGCGAUUAGAUACCGCCCUAGUUCUAACCGUAAAUAUGUCAUCUAGCGAUCCGCCAACGUUACUACAAUGGCUCGGCGGGCAGCUUCCGGGAAACCAAAGAUUUUGGACUCCGGGGGGAGUAUGGUUGCAAAGCUGAAACUUAAAGGAAUUGACGGAAGGGCACCACCAGGAGUGGAGCCUGCGGCUUAAUUUGACUCAACACGGGAAAUCUCACCAGGCCCGGACACCGGAAGGAUUGACAGAUUAAUAGCUCUUUCUUGAUUCGGUGGGUGGUGGUGCAUGGCCGUUCUUAGUUGGUGGAGCGAUUUGUCUGGUUAAUUCCGGUAACGAACGAGACUCUAGCCUGCUAAAUAGGCGUCGUCAUUUUGGUGUGCGUGGCGCAAGCCGCGCGACUCACUGGCGUCGUAUUAAAAUUCUUCUUAGAGGGACCGGCGGCUGGGAGCCGCACGAGAUUGAGCAAUAACAGGUCUGUGAUGCCCUUAGAUGUCCUGGGCCGCACGCGCGCUACACUGAAGGAAUCAGCAUGUUCUCCCUGGCCUAGAGGCCCGGGCAACCCGCUGAAACUCCUUCGUGCUGGGGAUUGGGGUUUGCAAUUGUCCCCCAUAAACGAGGAAUUCCUAGUAAGCGCGAGUCAUAAGCUCGCGUUGAUUACGUCCCUGCCCUUUGUACACACCGCCCGUCGCUACUACCGAUUGAAUGAUUUAGUGAGGUCUUCGGACCGACACGCGGUGGCUUAACGGCCGUCGGCGUUGUUGGGAAGUUGACCAAACUUGAUCAUUUAGAGGAAGUAAAAGUCGUAACAAGGUUUCCGUAGGGGAACCUGCGGAAG